GUGUACAAUCAACAACAACAUCAAUCAACGGCUUCAACCCGAAUCCAACCCAGCAAAGCUGACCCAACAUCUAAUUCUGACCCGACCCUGAUACCUACAUCAACGAUAACACCAACAACUUAAUCCGGCACCCUGAAACCCGGCGAUCCGCCGACCCGAACCCGCGAUAAACACAACAUUAUCCAUCAACAACCAAGGGAGUCCUAAAGUGUCAUUUGCGUGUGAUUGAUGAGCCAUCCGCUUCUAGAAGAGUUUAGAAACUGUCCAGCUGUCUCUUUUAAUGGUAUAAUAUCUCACCAUCAUCCGAUUCAUACAGAGGUAGAAGGUGGAUAUUAAUUCUAUUUUGAAAUUUUGAAAUCCUCUCCUGGAAUUUCUAUCUGAUUUUUCCAUCCCACAUCGAAAGGAAAAAGGGCUGGACUCUAAAGUUUUUCCUAUAUAUACUCUUACUAUUUUCGUUGAAAGGGGAAAAAGGGGAAAAACCCUUUGAGCAAAAAUCAGUAAAUUUUUAUUUUAGUAAAAUUUUAGAAGCCGUCGAUUUGAUCGGAAUUCUCGAAGGACCUAUUUUCGGUGGUGGUGUCUCCCGACGUUAGCUUGAGGUCCUGUUUUGCUGCCCCGAAGAAGGUAAACUUCUUUCUACACAUUCUUUAUGACGUUCUUUUUUUCAUCUCUUUCUCCGUAUUGAUAGGCGUAUAGUCGUAAUCAAAGUGGCUGUGGGACUGUUUGCUGUAGUUGGCUUCGAUGGCCGUAGGAUUUGUCUGAAGUGUUUGGCGUUAUGUCAUUUGAUGAGCCAUUAUUUUACAUUUUUGUUUUCAUUACUACUUUUGUAAUCUUUGGUUUGAUGGCAAUAGUACUCCGAUCAUGGAUACCUUUUAAAUAAGUUUACAAUAUGCUUAUGUAGUAUCUACAUUGCAACUCAUCAUAUGCUCUUUGGUAUCAAACAUGUUAUUUACACUUAAGUGCAAACAAAGUACUUAAGUGCAAACAAAGUUUACAUCAAGACAUUUCUUGCUUAAUAUGUUGUUCGACUAUCUGAAUGCACCUUUGUUCUUCUUAUUAGCCUUUUCUACAUUUUUCUUUUCCAGCGACCGAGCAUGAUUAAGCUCGUUCUAUGCUUUCUUUCCUUUAAAUGGUUGUAGGUUACGUAUUUUAUUUUCUUAUUCCUUGACCAUGUGGGGUUUUCCGAAUGGACUUCCCUUCCUUUGCAUUUCUAAGAGGACAAUGAGGCGCCUCUUUUCGAGUCAAACUUUGAGGGAAAAGUUUUUAAAAGUUGACCAUGUGGCAUACCGAAUGCAAUGCAAGGAGUCGAAAGAAGAAGAAAUGGACUAAAGUCUCAUCCUUGAAGCAGCUAAGAUACUUGAAAGUCCUAUUUCUUCAUUUAUUCAUUUGUAUUAUUGUCUUUAUUUAUUUAUUUCAUUGUUUAUUCAUUUGGGCCUCGAAACCAAAGUUGUAAAUUUAAUACAGGUGGAGCAGAUUUUGGGUCAAUGGGCCUGAAAAAAUAGUUUAGACAGGUUAUGGGCUAAGGCCCAACAUUUAGAUUACGACAGGUGCAAGUGGGUCAAAAACUUAAUUAGAUUAAGAUAGGGUCUAUUGAUUUGGGCCCAAUGGUCUAAGUCCUUUAUUUCCUCCCCUUCCCCUUUUACAUGCUUUGUUAUUAAUUUAUUUAGACUUAGUUAAAAUUUCUACUAAGUCGUCCAAAUUUAUUUUACAUAAGCCUUUUCCUAAAAUCAAUCACUUAUCAACAAUCAAUUUUUUUGAAGUUAGUCAAAAGAUAUUUUCAAACAGUUCGGAUAACUGUAAGUUAGCGGACGUUUUAGGUGCCUUAAAACCUUCCUAAAAUGUUAAUGGGAACUGCUUACCUAGAAUUUCUAACUUAAAUGAUUUUUCUAUUUUGAACCACCUAAAUACUUUACAAAGAUUUUCUCAAUCUCAAAAGUCAAAAUUUUUGUAAAACAGAAAUGACGACUUUGUUGGGGAUUCUAAUUAAGUUUUAACCAAAUGUUUGACUUUAUCUUUGAUUAACUGUUUAAAUUGCUUACAUGUUUAUAUGUUUUGAUUUUGCAGAAUUUAAUUAUUGCAUCUCAUACAUAGCAUAAUCUCACAUUUGUUAUUAAUUUAUUUUGGGGUUUCAUAG
rnacentral:lncRNA from 1 species